UAAAGGACUGGCACAAUUCUAAAAUCACUUUUGCUUUCAUGCAACGUGUCCUUUUCACUCUGACACAGAUCAAGGACAAUAUAGGGCGGGUCCUGGGUCCCAGCUUCAGCAGCGGUAUCCAUGGAAGUCACCUUCAGUCACGUUUCAGAUUCUCAUCAGCCAUCAGGAAACCUCUCAUCCUAUACAUGAGUUUGGUUCUCAAGUCAUCCUUGACGGGAAAAUUUUCAUAGAGUCAAGACUCCCCUCGGAAAAUCCCCAAACUAAUAACAUAAAAAUGCAGCAACUUUCAGUUAAGUCCAAGCCAGCCAGGCUUUCUUUCAGAGUUAGUACAGAUCACAGCUUCUUUGCUAGAACUCCAGGUGAAAAGAGCUGUGUUUUAGGGGCACAGAAUCUACGCUACAUCAGCAAGGUGAGAUGCUCCUCUGUGGGCAGGAUGUCGUGAUGAGUGACUGAGGGAAGCAUUCUCACACCCUUUCAGGCUCAUCAGCCUGCACAGUUUUCUUCCUUCAGCCUCUGUCUCUCUCUCUCUCUGCCGGCCCAGCACAUCUUGUAGACGGGGCAGGAGUUUAACGCUGGCAGGAUGUGGCUCCAUGGCAUGGUAUGAUCACGAACACCCGGGAUGGCUUCCUAGGACCCUGACAUGGAAAGGGAGGGUCAAAAAGUCCGUAGUGCAGGCUGCCCACAGGCCCAUCCCGUUAGCAGGGAGGAGAGCACCCAGGGUGAUUUUGGUGAUUGGGGAGAAAAACUAACUAGAGUGGUUUCAAUGUAUUUAUUCCUUCCAGUGCGGGUUCCUAACUUCUAAAUAAAUACAAGCCCCGGGAUGCAGACAGCACGGCAGAUGCAGAGGCGUCACGUGUGUGCGCCCUCCCUCUGGAAGCCAGCUAAUAAUUUCUCAUUAGCAAGAACAAGUGAAAAAGAUGGCUGUUCCACCAGAAACCCAUUGAAUAUGAUAAUGGAGACCCCUCCUCCCCGCUCAGAUUCGGGCUGGAGACCACCCCUGGUGCCUUCCUGCUCUAACCGAGGAAAGAGAUCUCCACGUUAACAGAUUCUUAACUGGCUGGUGUGAAGAGUCAUUCCAAGGUAAGCUAAGCUCAGAUAUUUGCUAAAUUGAUUAUGGCUGUUGUUUUUCAUAGUCAAGAAAGUCAGUUUUUGGAAAAGGACAUCGCCACCACAAAAUCAUAUUUUCAAAGAAAAUGCUGGUGCUUUCUUCAUAGUUGGCAUGGUCAUCUGAUAUUUUGUUAUGGUUUAUCUGUUUGUUCAUUUUGGGUCUCCCCAUCAGAAUAUAAGCUCCCUGAGGUCAUGGUCUUGUUUAUUUAGUUCGAGGCUCUAUCUUCACUGACUCCAAGAAUGCUGACACAUGACAGGUACUCGAUAAAUAUUUUUUUGAGUGAAUGUAGACAUAAUAUUUGUUUUCAAGAGAAAACGACUUUGGAAUUUGUGUAGUCCUGGAAGAAUGUUGAUUGGCCCAGGCAGUCAUCUUACUGUUCUGUGGGCAGGCUCAAUUUAUCUGCUUAUUCAAACAAUCUUUAUUGAGGACCUACUAUGUUCUAGACCCUGUUCUAAACACAGUAGAUACAGCAGUUCACAGUGCACAGCACCUGCUCCUCAUGGACCUUACCUUCUCAUGGGGAGAACAGAAAUCAAACACAUAAUUAACACAAGGGAUAAAUGUAAAGUCAGGUAAUCAUUUUGAAGCAAAAAAUAUAGGGGACAUGAGAACAUGCUGAAAUGGAAGACUAGUCUAGUUUGGAGAGACCAGGAAAUCUUCGCGAGGUAAGUAACAUUUAACUAGAGACUUUAAGGAUAAAUAGGAGUUGGAGAGAAUUCAGAGCAGAGGAAAGCAGGAGGAAAGGUUGUGAGGUGGGAGCAGCUUCAUGUUUGAAAUGCAGCAAGAAAACCAGUGUGGCAGGAGAGGGCAGAAUGUGCGAUUGGAAAGCAAGCAAGCUUUGGUGGAAUGACUGGGUCUGUGAAAGCCAUACUGAAGAAUUCUGCUUUUAUUCUGAAAGCCCUAAGAUGUCAUCAAAGUAUUCUAAGUAAGGUGGUAAAGUGAUCAAGUUGUAACUUUAAAAUUUUUAUUCAAAUAAAUUAGAAAUAAAAUUAUUUUUAAAUGGUGAGAGGAGUUCAUUUUUAGUUUUCCUUGGGUUCUCUUACAAGAAGGAGAUAACAGAUACUCUUAAAGUCAAUGAAGAGCUAAUGGUUGGGGGCAAAAAGGCCUUACCUCCAAUUAACCAUGUGUUAUCUCAGUCCUAGCCCAUACGCAUCUUCAUCGUAGCCUGCUUCUGAAAGUGUCACAAACUUCAGAGAUUUAAUGAGAUCUUUUGGUUUCAUUUUGAAUUAAAUAAGAAAUGGCUAGUAAUGAGAGCCUGCUGCAUAGCACUGGAAACUGUAUAGAGUCACUUAUGAUGGAGCAUGAUAAUGUGAGAAAAAAGAAUGUGUACAUGUAUGACUGGGUCACCUUGCUGUUCAGUAGAAAAUUGACUGAACACCUUAAACCAGCUAUAAUGUAAAAAAUAAAAAUCAUUAAAAAAGAGAAAUUGGUAAGGUGCUAAGGUGCUAAGUGUUCAAAAUGUUUUCUCCCUUUGCUAAAUUUGCAUAGAUAGUUACUGUCAAUUCAUGCAAUUAUUUGAUUAAUUCUUCCUUCACUUCUACAACAAAUAUAAGCACUUCAUAUAUGUUAUGCCAUAGUUGGCCCGGGCUAGAAAUACACUUAAAAUAUUCUCUACGAGCCAUGUAAAUUGUGCUCAACAAAUGUUUGAUGGAUAGCUGAGUGAUACAGUGUUUCUGAUCAGGAAUAGACACAUAAAUAAUAUAACCUGGCCCUUGUUAUAGGAGAUACAAGAAAAAGAUAGUGCUCUGGGAGAAAGCAAUCUUAAACAUGAGCAUAAAAAGAAUAGGAGGACAUUGUAAAUAAACUUCAAUAAAACUUUAAAAGGAGAAGAAGGGAAAAAAAAAAAAA
rnacentral:lncRNA from 9 species